rnacentral:misc_RNA from 1 species
GCUCUUUCUUGAUAAAAAAAAAACAAAAAUUUAAAGUUCUCACCGCAUGAUGUAAUUAAACUCAGAAGUAAUCAUCAAAAUUAGGCCACUACCUAACAGGGUACUUGCCUACUUGGUUCCAUUGACUACAAACAGCAAGGGCGGCCAUCAGAUAAAUAGUUGUAUGACUACAAAUAGUCCAAAUAUGCUUAAAGCUGAAAUCAAAUUAUUGUGGUGUAGCUAUAUGUAAUAAAGAUAGAUUUGUCUAUCAACACCCCCCUGCCCCCGGCCCCACCCCCCUCUUUUUUUCCCAGGGUAACAUUUGCAAUCUUAUCAUAUCUCAAUGGAAAUUGAUAGGGGAAAGUUGGAAUUUGUAUUCAUGACUAAUAUCAACCACUGAAUUCAAAAUUUUCUUGCAAAAACUGGUAAAGCUCUUCAGCAACCAUGGUAGGAUACUCUUCUUGUGGCAGAAGAGCACCUGGAACCCCAACAAAUUUACUGACCCCUUUGGCUCCUUUGAGUGCUUCCAUCUCUGCUUUUGACCUCUUCGGACAUCCUUCAGUUGACAUAACAAGAACUGGUAGCUUUCCAUCUAAAUCUGCAAAGAGUUCAAGAAACUCUU